rnacentral:rRNA from 1 species
UACAGAGGGUGCAAGCGUUGUUCGGAAUUAUUGGGCGUAAAGCGCGUGUAGGCGGCUUAGCAAGUCGGGCGUGAAAGCCCUCGGCUCAACCGAGGAAGUGCACCCGAAACUGCUGAGCUUGAGUGCCGGAGAGGAUGGCGGAAUUCCCCAAGUAGAGGUGAAAUUCGUAGAUAUGGGAGGAACACCGGUGGCGAAGGCGGCCAUCUGGACGGUAACUGACGCUGAGACGCGAAAGCGUGGGGAGCAAACAGG